rnacentral:lncRNA from 1 species
AGGUACAAAGUGGCACCAGGAGGGACCAGCCACUGUGCUUUGCACCCAGCCUCACUGCACCUUCUGGUGCAUCUGGAAGGUCCUGAAGGAGGAGUUCCAGGGCCCCGGCUGCCAUGGGCCCUGAAGGAAUAGUUCGGUGCUGGAGCUGGGCAUGGGAAUAGAGCCAAGCAUUUGAGAGGCAGGGACCAGGCAGAUGUCAGAAACAAGAACCAGCAGACGUCCAAAGAAGGCAUCUGUCUGAAGGCCAGGAUGCAAGAUACAGUAAGUAGGCUGCCAGCUGCAAGCCAGGAAGAGGGCCCUCACCAGAAGCCAACUAUGAUGGCACCCUGAUCUUGGACUUCCCAGUCUUCAGAACUGUGAGAAAUAAAUGUCUGUGGUUUAAGCCA